rnacentral:rRNA from 1 species
GACGAACCGUGCGAACGUUGUUCGGAAUCACUGGGCUUAAAGGGCGCGUAGGCGGGCCUUCAAGUCCGGGGUGAAAUCCUCCAGCCUAACUGGAGAAGAGCCUCGGAGACUGAGGGCCUCGAGGGAGGUAGGGGCAAGCGGAACUAUGGGUGGAGCGGUGAAAUGCAUUGAUAUCCAUAGGAACUCCGGUGGCGAAGGCGGCUUGCUGGACCUCUUCUGACGCUGAGGCGCGAAAGCCAGGGGAGCAAACGGG